UACGGGGGGGAGCAAGCGUUGUUCGGAUUUACUGGGCGUAAAGGGCGCGUAGGCGGUCGUGACAAGUCACUUGUGAAAUCUCCGGGCUUAACUCGGAACGGUCAAGUGAUACUGUCGGACUAGAGUACAGAAGGGGCAACUGGAAUUCUCGGUGUAGCGGUGAAAUGCUUAGAUAUGACAUAGAACACCAAUUGCGAAGGCAGCUUACUACAGGGACAUUGACACUGAGGCACGAAAGCGUGGGGAUCAAACAGG
rnacentral:rRNA from 1 species